rnacentral:lncRNA from 1 species
UGCAGAUGCUUUUUGAGUUUGUCACUGUGUUUCCAUCUAAAAUAUUCUUGUUUUCAUUUGCAGUGACUAAUUUGAACCAGUUCAGUGGCCCUACGAACCCAGAGUAAGUGGACACGUUCAGCGCACUGCACAGUUUGCUCUGAGAAGUUCCGAGUACUGUGCUCAGGACCAUUUCAGUAAUUAUUUUGUACGGCAGAUGCCGUAAACGUAGUAAUGGCAAUGUACAAAGGAUGUUCUUACAGCCCCUCCGCCUCUGUGCUCCAAUGAACGUGUGGUGUGUUUGCAGGACGAGCUCCUUGCCAACCUGCGCUGCAGCACCUGUAGCUGCUGAAGAUCAGUUUGGAUAUCAAAAUGUUGCAUGUAAGUGACUAGUAUGUAUAUAAAGGUGAACAUCAUGAAUAGGAGUUGGAGUCUGGGGGACAGCAGGUAGUGUAGUGGUUAGAGCUGCUGUUGCCUGUGCACCCAGCGGUUUGAAUCCCACCUUGAGCAAAGUACUUACCCUGAAUUGUUCCAAUAAAAUAACCCAGCUGUAUAGAUGGGCAAAUACUUGUAAGCUGCUCUGGAGAAAAGUGUCACGUAAACAAGUCAUUUAAUUUGACGACAGUGUGUAUGGAUGUGUAUGUUCCCAUGUCCACAGUAACAGUGCUGUAUUGACACUCUAUCAGUGUGAGUCACACAGUGUUUCUGUGGCCCUGCUGUGUGCGACGGGUUCCCUCGGAGAUGUCACUAAUAUUCCUGCUUGUGUUCUCUUUCAGUUCAUAACGGCAGCCCCACGUACGUGUAAGUAUUGGCGCUCACCUGGGUCACUGCACCUCUGUGGCUCCUUUACAAGCAACCUUCCAGAAAAGGGCUUCAGGGGCAACUUGAGCAUGUUUAGUAAGAAAGGUCGUCGUGGAAAGACGAAUUCAUGCCUGCGGAACGUCACAAUGCACCUCUGCGCUGUUAGCCACCCACCUUCUUGGUUCCAUUUGAAGGAUUUUGUACAAAGUUGUUUACAACGCAGCAGCCCCCCCAGCAUCAUAAGGUCACAGAAAGAUACGUGUCUGAAAACAAUGCAAAACGUAAAUGUGCUUGAUUGGCGGUGUUCACAUGUGUCAGUGUGUCGUCAACUGAGGGCUCUUUGUGUUAAACACACAAUAUCUGUGUGCAGAGACCCCAUUGCUACGCUGCUCUACCAGAAUUUACCGGAGCCCUCGAAAGAUUCAGCUGAAUAUGAAAAUGUAUUUCCCACCGUGGACCCCCUGCUCACACAGGACUCAGACGGCUCCGACUACGAGAACUCUCAAUUCCUCCAGGAGCAUCGGAGCACGGGUUCGUACCCCUCUAACGGUCACUCGUGUUUUCUCUGCGCCAGCAGUGCUGUGAGCUCAACCGUGCUAUUUCUUUCCAGGUGUGUGCGACAGCGACACCGAUGA